UAUUCUGCCCUAUGGGGAAGGAUGAGAAGCUUCGACUAAGGUUCGACUCGAGCGAAGCGAGAGAACGUUGCCGCAGGCAACGGCCCGAAGGGCGAGGCGCUUUAGCGCCGAGUAAUCCUUCCCCCACCACCA
rnacentral:sRNA from 1 species